rnacentral:rRNA from 1 species
AACGAACGCUGGCGGCGUGCCUAAUACAUGCAAGUCGAGCGAAUGACGAGAAGCUUGCUUCUCUGAUUUAGCGGCGGACGGGUGAGUAACACGUGGGCAACCUGCCCUACAGAUCGGGAUAACUCAGGGAAACCUGGGCUAAUACCGGAUAAUCCUUCGACUCACAUGUUUAGAAGUUGAAAGGCGCUUAGGCGUCACUGUAGGAUGGGCCCGCGGUGCUUUAGCUAGUUGGUGGGGUAACGGCCUACCAAGGCAACGAUGCAUAGCCGACCUGAGAGGGUGAUCGGCCACAUUGGGACUGAGACACGGCCCAAACUCCUACGGGAGGCAGCAGUAGGGAAUCUUCCACAAUGGACGAAAGUCUGAUGGAGCAACGCCGCGUGAGUGACGAAGGUUUUCGGAUCGUAAAACUCUGUUGUAAGGGAAGAACAAGUGCGUUAGGAAAUGAACGUACCUUGACGGUACCUUAUUAGAAAGCCACGGCUAACUACGUGCCAGCCGCCGCUGUAA